rnacentral:ncRNA from 2 species
CAAAUGCAUUACGGGUGUUCACUGAUCCUCGCUCUUCUACUUCGAGCAGACAUUUGAUCUGAGAUCAUACCGUUGGAACCUGAACAGGGUAACUCCUGCGAUAGGGACAAUGCAGUCCUCCUCCA